rnacentral:rRNA from 1 species
CUAAGGCUCCAGAGGAAGCCACGGCUAACUCUGUGCCAGCAGCCGCGGUAAUACAGAGGCGGCAAGCGUUGUUCGGAAUUAUUGGGCGUAAAGAGCACGUAGGCGGCCUUGCAAGUCAGUUGUGAAAGCCUUCCGCUUAACGGAAGAAUGCCAGCUGAUACUACAGGGCUUGAGUACGGGAGGGGAGAGUGGAACUUCUGGUGGAGCGGUGAAAUGCGUAGAUAUCAGAAGGAACGCCGGCGGCGAAAGCGACUCUCUGGCCCGAAACUGACGCUGAGUGUGCGAAAGCUGGGGGAGCAAACGGGAUUAGAUACCCCGGUAGUCCUAGCCGUAAA